ACGCUCGACACCUAUGGGAGGCAGCAGUGGGGAAUAUUGCACAAUGGGGGAAACCCUGAUGCAGCGACGCCGCGUGAAGGAAGAAGUAUUUCGGUAUGUAAACUUCUAUCAGCAGGGAAGAAGAAAGUGACGGUACCUGACUAAGAAGCCCCGGCUAACUACGUGCUAGCAGCCGCGGUAAUCUGAGCGGGCUGGCAAGGC
rnacentral:rRNA from 1 species